rfam:Picea glauca, whole genome shotgun sequence.
AUGUACAUUCCUACAACAUAGUGUUGAUGCAUAAGAUCCCAUUAGAAAUCCGCAGUUAAGCACGCUCGGGCUAGAGUAGUACUGGGAUGGGUGACCACCUAGGAAGUCCUAGUAUUUUACAUG